CAGCCGCCGCGGGAAUACGAAGGGUGCAAGCGUUAAUCGGAAUUACUGGGCGUAAAGCGUGCGUAGGCGGUGAGUUAAGUCUGCUGUGAAAUCCCCGGGCUCAACCUGGGAAUUGCAGUGGAUACUGGGUCACUAGAGUGUGGUAGAGGAUAGUGGAAUUUCCGGUGUAGCAGUGAAAUGCGUAGAGAUCGGAAGGAACAUCUGUGGCGAAGGCGACUAUCUGGGCCAACACUGACACUGAGGCACGAAAACGUGGGGAGCAAACAGGAUUAGAUACCCGUGAGUCCCUGUCUCUUAUACA
rnacentral:rRNA from 1 species